rnacentral:misc_RNA from 1 species
UAAUUUUGAUGCCUAUAGAAUCUUUUCAUUUAAAAAAUUAUCAACUUGAAUAAUUUUAAUAAAAAAAGAAAAAGCAGCCAUUGAUUGUGAAAUUUUAAAAAAUUCUAAAUUAAAAUAAACUACACUUCACCCCCUACUCCCUUCCCACGCAUCAACCCAAUUUCUUGUUUCACAAACCACCCAAAAUCUAAUUCAAAGGGGAAAGAAACAUGUAAGUUUGAACUGGCAACCUCGCAAACACUCUGCCAUACAAUAUUCUCCCGGAUUUUUACCAAAGAACUAGGAUUUAAGACUGAUACUCUAUAAAUUACAAUCCCAAACUGACCAAAAUAGAAACCAAAGCCAUCCACCGUUUCCAAAAUAAUUGAUACCGUUAACAUAUACCAACAAAUCCCCGAAACCUGUGGGAAAAAUAACAUCCACUAAGCACUCAAAAUAACAUCCCCAAAAGCUGCAUCAAGAAGGACUAAGAUCCUUUCAUGUCUAUGCUGAUAAUGCAAUUUCAUCUUCCUUUUUGGCAUCUGCUUUUGCUUUCUCACCUUCAGCCUCAUUGUGCUGCUCCUUUGCCUCAACAGGCCCCUCCUCCUUUUCUUUCUCAUCUGUUUUACCAUCCACGACACUCAACUUCUCAAGUAGUCCAGCAGCAUCUGCAGCCUCUUUACUUUCUUCUUUUUUUCCCUGAGUUUCAGCCACCUCUUGCACCGUCUCCAUGAAGGUUUUGCAAUUCUCAACAGAAGGAAAUCUGACACAGAAGAGCUCGUCCUUCAAUUCUCCAUCAGCAAAAUCAGCGGCAUGCCAGACGCAUGAUUUAUCAUUCCCGUGAUGCUCUUGGACAUUGAUUGAUGGCACAACUAGAUGAUUGGCGCAGAUCUUGAGAGUCUUAGAUUGGCGCAUGACAAGGCGAACCUUGCCAGAUUCCUUAUGCUUCAAAAGCUUCACAUUACCAACUCCUCUCUCCUUCCACUGGUUCCCUUCCUUAUCAAAUCUAUACAGCUUCGCUUUCAGAUCGAGGAUAGGAUCCUCAUCUUCCUCGCCAGUAGUGAGGGCCACCUCUUCGAGCUUGACGAUGGGGGCAACCUGAGCUCCGGUGUCCUCAUCAUCGGCGGCAGGUGCGUUCUCGUCCUCUUCUCUAUCUUUAGUGUUGUGCUCUGGAUCGGCAGCAGAAGCAGUACUUGCCAUUCCUCGC